UGUGGUUGCGGGGCGUCAGCG
rnacentral:misc_RNA from 1 species